rfam:Coprinopsis cinerea okayama7#130 chromosome 5 cont3.5, whole genome shotgun sequence.
GGCCGUGUGGCGAAAUGGCAUCGCGUCUGACUACGAAACGCGAAUCAGGAGAUUGUAGGUUCGACCCCUACCUCGGUCA